UGGGGAAUAUUGGACAAUGGGGGCAACCCUGAUCCAGCCAUGCCGCGUGAGUGAUGAAGGCCUUAGGGUUGUAAAGCUCUUUCGCCGGUGAAGAUAAUGACGGUAGCCGGUAAAGAAGCCCCGGCUAACUUCGUGCCAGCAGCCGCGGUAAUACGAAGGGGGCUAGCGUUGUUCGGAAUUACUGGGCGUAAAGCGCGCGUAGGCGGGCUAUCAAGUUGGGGGUGAAAUCUCGGGGCUCAACCUCGGAACUGCCUCCAAAACUGUUAGCCUAGAGGUUGUGAGAGGAUAGUGGAAUUCCGAGUGUAGAGGUGAAAUUCGUAGAUAUUCGGAAGAACACCAGUGGCGAAGGCGACUGUCUGGCACAUUUCUGACGCUGAGGUGCGAAAGCGUGGGGAGCAAACAGGAUAAGAUACCCGUGUAGUCC
rnacentral:rRNA from 1 species